rnacentral:rRNA from 1 species
UACGAAGGGUGCAAGCGUUACUCGGAAUUACUGGGCGUAAAGAGCUCGUAGGCGGCUUGUCGCGUCGUCCGUGAAAACCUGCAGCUCAACUGCAGGCUUGCGGUCGAUACGGGCAGGCUGGAGUUCGGUAGGGGAGACUGGAAUUCCUGGUGUAGCGGUGAAAUGCGCAGAUAUCAGGAGGAACACCGGUGGCGAAGGCGGCAUCCUGGACCGGUAUUGACGCUGAGGCGCGAAAGCUAGGGGAGCAAACGGG